rnacentral:rRNA from 1 species
CCUACGGGAGGCAGCAGUGAGGAAUAUUGGUCAAUGGACGCAAGUCUGAACCAGCCAUGCCGCGUGCAGGAAGACGGCUCUAUGAGUUGUAAACUGCUUUUGUACGAGGGUAAACGCAGAUACGCGUAUCUGUCUGAAAGUAUCGUACGAAUAAGGAUCGGCUAACUCCGUGCCAGCAGCCGCGGUAAUACGGAGGAUUCAAGCGUUAUCCGGAUUUAUUGGGUUUAAAGGGUGCGUAGGCGGUCGGAUAAGUUAGAGGUGAAAACCGGAGGCUCAACUUCGGAAUUGCCUCUGAUACUGUUCGGCUAGAGAGUAGUUGCAGUAGGCGGAAUGUAUGGUGUAGCGGUGAAAUGCUUAGAGAUCAUACAGAACACCGAUUGCGAAGGCAGCUUACCAAGCUACUUCUGACGUUGAGGCACGAAAGCGUGGGGAGCAAACAGGAUUAGAUACCCGUGUAGUC